rnacentral:lncRNA from 1 species
CAGGAACCCCCUCCCGCUGGCUCUGCGUCUGUCUGAUCACGCAGGCCCUGUGUCCUCGCUUUCUCCACAAUGGGAGCUGGGAGUUGGCACGACGGCCCCAAGGGGUCAGCUUUGCCUGGAUUUCUGAGCAAAAGCUGACUAAAACUUCCAAUCAGCUCUCCACUCAGCCUGGUGUGGAAGAGGGAGGAAGUCACACUGCACAGCCAAACACCGUGUCAGUGCGGUGACCCGAAGACGCAGUCCCCCGCCACACACCCAGACAGUGCGAGAACCGGGAACACUCUGCUUGACAUCAGAGGCCACAUAGCGGCUCGUUCACCUCACAGGAGAAGCCGGCUGAGGAGGUGGGGACGGAGUCACCCUUCCAUGAGUUCUCCAAGUUCAGCGGAUCCUCCGCUGUGGGACCCCACCAUCAAGUCAGAUUAGACAGCAAAUGUUGGUCAGUUAAGAGUAAACAUGAACAGGGGCGCCUGGUGGCUCAGUCGGUGAAGCGUCUGCCUUCCGCUCAGGUCAUGAUCCCGGGGUCUUGGGCUCGAGUUCUGCGUGGGGCUCCCUCCUCAGAGGGGAGCCUGUGUUUCCCUCUCCCUCUGCCUGCCACUUCCCUGCUUGCU